rnacentral:lncRNA from 1 species
GCUCAGUCAAACACUAUAAUAUGAGAUAAAACUUAGGGAGUGCCAGUAACUCAAGUUUCUUAAAAACUAGCUAAAUUCAUAGAAAUAGAGGAGACUUACCAUGAUUCCAGGGACAGCUGGGGGGAUCCUCCUUUGAAGGAGACUUAGAGUAUAGUCCGCGACUUGCUGAGGAGUGGCCCUGUCUUUGCAUUCAGCACCAGGGGUGACCAUGCUCGGCUUCAGGAGGAUACCCUCGAACAUGACAUUGUUCUCAGCCAAAUAAAAGAAGACCUCAGCCCAAACCUUCUGUGCUACCUCAAAAGUCCUGUCAAUACCAUGUUCACCGUCUAACAAAAUCUCUGGCUCCACAAUUGGGACCAAACCACUGUCCUGAGAAAUGGCAGCGUAGCGAGCCAAGCCCCAUGCUGCUUCCUUCACAGCUAAUGCAGAUGGUCCGUUGGGAAUGCUCACCACGGUACGCCUGCAUAAGUUACCAUAAUUUUAGCACAUAUCAUCUUAAACAUAACAAAGUCAAUAUUUUUGAAAAUUACGAGGCAUUGUUGAACAUACCAUUUGGCGAAACGUGCACCCUGUUGGUAGUAUGCAGCAGUGCGGGAGGCAAGACCAUCAAGACCUUGACACCAUGACUCAUCAUUUGAACCAGCAAGGGGAACCAAACCCUGGUAACAGAUAAAAUGAUUAGGGGAUUUUGAUAGAAAUCUCAUUCCAGUCCAAUUCAUCAUUAAACUUGAAAUCCUCUCCUUUAACAUUCUGUACAUAGGCUGAUUAAUUCUUGUCUGAGCUAGUUUCACCACAUCAACAACUCUAAGUUGAACAAGUUAAAGUUUAUUUAAGAAUAAAACUUAAAGUUUGAACACCCUAUAACAAGCUCUUGCUACCAGAGGCGGACCUAUGUGUUAUAGUGUGGGGUCACCGGAUGCCGAAAACUUCGGUAGAAAUCUUGUAUGUGUAUAUGUAUAUACCUUGAAAAUGGUAAUUUAAAGCACUUAGCACCCUGAAUAUUAAAAGCCUUUAGUUGAGCAGAGUAUUGUGCCCCCGUCGCGUAAAAAUCCUGGGUCCAUCUCUCCUUGCUACCCAUACAUAACCUUGCCUUUCCUCUUUCUUGUUACUACAACUACAAUUACACCUUAAUUCCAAGCAAGUUGGGGUCGGCUAUAUAGAUCCUCAAACGUUAUGUCAUUCGAUUUAAGCUCAUCUGAGACCAAUAUUAUAUGAAUAAAAAUAGGAGUUACUAAAAGUUCACUAUACAUUUUACUGGCAUUGUUUCCUCUUUAUAGUUGUCCUUUUUUUUCCUUAAUCAAGUUGUGGGUUGUAGGUUAAUAUACCUUGUCAACUUUGAUACCAGGAACAAUGUUUUGUUCAACAAGAACAUCAACUAUUUUGCGGCCAUCAACGGUUGAUUGGUAGAGAGUCUCCUCGAAAAGAAUAGCACCAGAGAUGUACUGUCCAAGUCCUGGAGCUGUCACAAGCAGGGUACGGUAAGCUUGGCGGUUAGCCUCAGUGUUUUCCAAACCAAUGGAAGCCAAACGCUUUCCACAGGUAGCAUUGGAUUCAUCCAUAGCCAAAAUUCCGCGUCC